rnacentral:rRNA from 1 species
GGGAGGAAAAGAAACUAACAAGGAUUUUCUUAGUAGCGGCGAGCGAAAAGAAAUCAGUUCAGCACUAAGUCACUUUGUCUUUAUGGCAAAUGUGAGAUGCAGUGUAUGGAAUGUCAAAUUUCUAGUAUGAGAAAUUAACGAUUUAAGUCCUUCUUAAAUGAGGCCAUUUACCCAAAGAGGGUGCCAGGCCCGUAUAACGUUAAUGAUUACUAGAUGGCAUUUCCAAAGAGUCGUGUUGCUUGAUAGUGCAGCACUAAGUGGGUGGUAAACUCCAUCUAAAACUAAAUAUAACCAUGAGACCGAUAGUAAACAAGUACCGUGAGGGAAAGUUGAAAAGAACUCUGAAUAGAGAGUUAAAUAGUACGUGAAACUGCUUAGAGGUUAAGCCCGAUGAACCUGAAUAUCCAUUAUGGAAAAUUCAUCAUUAUGAUUUUAAUAUUAAUAAUAUUAUAAUAAUGGUGUGCAUUUUUUCUAUAAAGGACAUUGUAAUCUAUUAACAUAAAAUUAAUUUAUCAUAAGAUCUUUGGCUUAAGUUUAUUCGAAUUAUUUUGCUUGCAAUUUAAUACAGAAUAAAUGCUUUUGAUUUGAUAAAGUGUUGAUAGAUUUAUUAUAUAUAGUGCUUAAAUAUUUAUAUUUUAUAAUAGCAUAUUGAUCAUUGAUUUUUAUGUUUAUUAUAUGCACUUAUAUGAUUAACAAUGCGAAAGAUUCAGGAUACCUUCGGGACCCGUCUUGAAACACGGACCAAGGAGUCUAACAUAUUUGCAAGUUAUUGGGAAUAAAAACCUAAUAGCGAAAUUAACAUAACUUAUUAUAUGGGAUUAGUUUUUAGCCUAUUUAUAGUCUAUUAAUUCAAUCCCGGGGCGUUCUAUACAGUUAUGUAUAAUAAUAUUUAUAUUAUUUAUACCUCUAACUAGAGCGUACCUUGAGCAUAUAUGCUGUGACCCGAAAGAUGGUGAACUAUACUUGAUCAGGUUGAAGUCAGGGGAAACCCUGAUGGAAGACCGAAACAG